GAUGAAGGACGUAGCGAAAUGCGAUAAGUAGUGUGAAUUGCAGAAUUCAGUGAAUCAUCGAAUCUUUGAACGCACAUUGCGGCCAUAGGUAUUCCUUUGGCCAUGCCUGUUCGAGCGUCAUUUACACCCUCAAGCCUAGCUUGGUGUUGGGCGCCUGUCCCGCCGUUUUCGCGCGCGGACUCGCCUCAAAGUCAUUGGCGGCGGUCGUGCCGGCCCCCUCGCGCAGCACAUUUGCGCUUCUCGGAGGCCCGGCGGAUCCGCGCUCCAGCAAGACCUUUCACGACUUGACCUCGGAUCAGGUAGGGAUACCCGCUGAACUUAAGCAUAUCAAUAAGCGGAGGA
rnacentral:misc_RNA from 1 species